GAUGAACGCUGGCGGCGUGCCUAAUACAUGCAAGUCGAGCGAACAGAUAAGGAGCUUGCUCCUUUGACGUUAGCGGCGGACGGGUGAGUAACACGUGGGUAACCUACCUAUAAGACUGGAAUAACUCCGGGAAACCGGGGCUAAUGCCGGAUAAUAUUUAGAACCGCAUGGUUCUAAAGUGAAAGAUGGUUUUGCUAUCACUUAUAGAUGGACCCGCGCCGUAUUAGCUAGUUGGUGGGGUAAUGGCUUACCAAGGCAACGAUACGUAGCCGACCUGAGAGGGUGAUCGGCCACACUGGAACUGAGACACGGUCCAGACUCCUACGGGAGGCAGCAGUAGGGAAUCUUCCGCAAUGGGCGAAAGCCUGACGGAGCAACGCCGCGUGAGUGAUGAAGGUCUUCGGAUCGUAAAACUCUGUUAUUAGGGAAGAACAAAUGUGUAAGUAACUGUGCACGUCUUGACGGUACCUAAUCAGAAAGCCACGGCUAACUACGUGCCAGCAGCCGCGGUAAUACGU
rnacentral:rRNA from 1 species